AAAAAGACUUAAAUAAUAUUAAGGGACGAGAAGACCCUAUAGAGUUUAAUAAAUAUAUUAAUUAAUUGAGUUAUCAAUAUAAUUUUUGAUUAUUAAAAGAAUUUAUUUAAUUGGGGUGAUUGGAAGAUAAAUUUAACUCUUCUUUAUUUUUAAUAUUAUAAUUAGUUAUAUGAUCCAUAUUUAAUGAUUAUAAGAUUAAAUUACCUUAGGGAUAACAGCAUAA
rnacentral:rRNA from 1 species